AUAUUUUCUCCCGUCGAAUUCCGUUGCGCGAUAAGGCAACUAAUUUAGUGGCAGGGAAAGAUAUUAAUUACCCUUCAAGAAUGGUUCAGAUAAAUGCCUUUCGAACGAGAGAUUAAAUUGUUAAGACAUUCUUAUAAGAUAAUUCUAUUAAUGAUGAUUUUAAGGAUAAGCAAAUCUUUCGGGCAUUUUUGAUCUGAAAAGGAAGAAC
rnacentral:lncRNA from 1 species